rnacentral:rRNA from 1 species
UACGUAGGGUGCAAGCGUUGUCCGGAAUUAUUGGGCGUAAAGAGCUCAUAGGCGGUCUGUCGCGUCUGCUGUGAAAACUCGGGGCUUAACCCCGGGCCUGCAGUGGGUACGGGCAGACUAGAGUGCGGUAGGGGAGACUGGAAUUCCUGGUGUAGCGGUGAAAUGCGCAGAUAUCAGGAGGAACACCGGUGGCGAAGGCGGGUCUCUGGGCAGUAACUGACGCUGAGGAGCGAAAGCGUGGGGAGCGAACAGG